rnacentral:rRNA from 1 species
UACGUAGGGUGCGAGCGUUUAAUCGGAAUUACUGGGCGUAAAGCGUGCGCAGGCGGACUUGUAAGUCAGGGGUGAAAUCUCACAGCUCAACUGUGAAACUGCCUUUGAUACUGCAAGUCUUGGAUCCAGAAGAGAGUUGUGGAAUUCCGAGUGUAGCAGUGAAAUGUGUAGAUAUUCGGAAGAACACCAGUGGCGAAGGCAGCAACUUGGUCUGGUAUCGACGCUCAGGCACGAAAGCAUGGGGAUCAAACAGG